AUUGAACGCUGGCGGAAUGCUUUACACAUGCAAGUCGAACGGUAGAGGGGGCAACCCCUCGAGAGUGGCGAACGGGUGAGUAAUAUAUCGGAACGUGCCCAGUCGUGGGGGAUAACGUAGCGAAAGUUACGCUAAUACCGCAUACGAUCUAAGGAUGAAAGCGGGGGAUCGCAAGACCUCGCGCGAUUGGAGCGGCCGAUAUCAGAUUAGGUAGUUGGUGGGGUAAAGGCUCACCAAGCCAACGAUCUGUAGCUGGUCUGAGAGGACGACCAGCCACACUGGAACUGAGACAUGGUCCAGAGUCCUACGGGAUGCAGCAGUGGGGAAUUUUGGACAAUGGACGCAAGUCUGAUCCAGCCAUUCCGCGUGCAGGAUGAAGGCCCUCGGGUUGUAAACUGCUUUUGUACGGAACGAAAAGGUCUCUCUUAAUACGGGGGACUCAUGACGGUACCGUAAGAAUAAGCACCGGCUAACUACGUGCCAGCAGCCGCGGUAACAC
rnacentral:rRNA from 1 species